rnacentral:rRNA from 1 species
GAUGAACGCUGGCGGCGUGCUUAACACAUGCAAGUCGAACGGAAAGGCUCCUGCUUGCAGGGGUACUCGAGUGGCGAACGGGUGAGUAACACGUGGGUGAUCUGCCCUGCACUUCGGGAUAAGCCUGGGAAACUGGGUCUAAUACCGGAUAGGACCACAUUUUGGAUGGUGUGGUGGAAAGUUUUUCGGUGUGGGAUGCGCUCGCGGCCUAUCCGCUUGUUGGUGGGGUAAUGGCCUACCAAGGCGUCGACGGGUAGCCGGCCUGAGGGGGUGUAUGGCCACAUGGGGACUGAGAGACGGCCCAGACUCCUACGGGAGGCAGCAGUGGGGAAUAUUGCAGAAUGGGCGCAAGCCUGAUGCAGGGACGCCGCGUGGGGGAUGACGGCCUUCGGGUUGUAAACUACUUUCGCUAGGGACGAAGCGCAAGUGACGGUACCUGGAGAAGAAGCACCGGCUAACUACGUG